rnacentral:misc_RNA from 1 species
UCUCCGUAGGUGAACCUGCGGAAGGAUCAUUAUUGUAUAACCGAGGUGCGAGGGCUGUCGCUGACCCGAAAGGUCGUGCACGCCCGAGUGCCCUCACACACAUCCAUCUCACCCCUAUGUGCACCACCGCGUGGGUCCCCCUUUGGCUUGUUCGGAGGGGGGCUUACGUUUUCACACAAACUUUGUAUGCAGUGUAGAAUGUAUUUUUUGUUCUUGCGAUCACGCAAUCAAUACAACUUUCAACAACGGAUCUCUUGGCUCUC